CCUACGGGUGGCAGCAGUGAGGAAUAUUGGUCAAUGGACGCAAGUCUGAACCAGCCAUGCCGCGUGCAGGAAGACGGCUCUAUGAGUUGUAAACUGCUUUUGUACGAGGGUAAACGCAGAUACGCGUAUCUGUCUGAAAGUAUCGUACGAAUAAGGAUCGGCUAACGCCGUGCCAGCAGCCGCGGUAAUACGGAGGAUUCAAGCGUUAUCCGGAUUUAUUGGGUUUAAAGGGUGCGUAGGCGGUCUGAUAAGUUAGAUGUGAAAUCCCGAGGCUAAACUUCGGAAUUGACUUUGAUAAUGUUCGGCGAGAGAGUAGUUGCGGUAGGCGGAAUGCAUGGUGUAGCGGUGACACGCUUAGAGAUCAUACAGAACACCGAUUGCGAAGGCAGCUUACCAAGCUACUUCUGACGUUGAGGCACGAAAGCGUGGGGAGCAAACAGGAUUAGAUACCCCUGUAGUC
rnacentral:rRNA from 1 species